rnacentral:miRNA from 1 species
CCUCCUUCGGACGAGUGCUUGCC